AAAGGCUAAUCAAAGGCGUGAUAAGAAAAGGGAAACACAGGAGCUGGAGACUGGAACUACACCACUAAAGUCCACUGACGGUCCUGAACCAACCAGGGACCAACAAGAAUGUACCAUAACUAUCCCUGAUGGAACUAUGGAUGAUCAUCAUGGUGACCAGAGUCUGGGUCCAGCCCCUUCCUCAAGCCCCACACAUAAUGGAUCUGAGUCAGUCUCAGACCAUCAGGAGGACCAUCAGCCUGUCCUCAUCAAGAGAGACCAUGGAGCCUCCCGGUCCACCCCCCUUAGUCUGAGUCCCCUCUCCCCCUCCCAGUCCACCCGCCUCAGUCUGGGUCCCCCCUCCCCCUCCCAGUCCAC